CACGUAGGCGGAUGAAUAAGUCAGGGGUGAAAUCCCCGAGCUUAACUUGGGAAUUGCAUUCGAUACUGGGAAGCUAGAGUAUGGGAGAGGAUGGUAGAAUUCCAGGUGUAGCGGUGAAAUGCGUAGAGAUCUGGAGGAAUACCGGUGGCGAAGGCAGCCAUCUGGCCUAAUACUGACGCUGAGGUACGAAAGCAUGGGGAGCAAACAGGAUUAGAUACCCUGGUA
rnacentral:rRNA from 1 species